CUCUAAUGUAUAUUGGCUGAAAGCACUGCUCAGUCUUUUAUCUUUGAAAACUUUAAAAAAUAUCCUUUUCCUCACAUACAGUUUAGAUCGCCUGCACUUUCUGAGGUACAAGACUGCAGGCUGAAUUUCGCUCGGGGCUUUCCGCUCUCUUCUGUUUCAUCUACUUCAAGGCCUUGCGGUCUGGCUGAAGAGAGGGGCCCAGAACAUACCUGGGUGUCAAGGAGCACCACAGGGACAGUGUCUCUCAGGGGUCAGGGCCUCCUACCUCAAAGUGACAGAGAAGCACAAUGCAAUAAGACAGUGACCAUCGGAUUCCCGAGUCCUCAAACUGUGACAGCCGUGACCCGGAGCUGUGACACUGAGCUGUUCCACUUUGCCACAACAGAAGGAGCCCAGGGACCACAUUGGGAAAGAACCUGGCUUCCCCUUCACCUCCUGAUAUAGAGGUCCCUGGAGAAAGGUCUAAAUAAAGGGGCUGCUCACAAAAAUAACUGCUCAGUGCCUGACAAUUAUCAGUCGAUCCUUUUAAAGAGAGGUGAGGGAGGAGGGACCAAAAACUAAGAUGUAAAAGCCAUACAUUCACAAAAACUACUCUGUGUGUCAUGGAUUCUCUGUCUGUCUGUCUCUCUCCCACGUAUACACUCCCACCCACACAGGAGUGGCCUACUGUUUUCUGUCUCUUUGCAAUUGAUUAGGUGUUUUC
rnacentral:lncRNA from 1 species